CUCGUUUUCACUGACAAGCGGUACAUGACCAUGUGCCAGUUAGGCCGCAGAGAGAGGCUCGCUUGUUGGCAGCACGGUUUGAUUGUGGGUCAAAAAUCCAGCAGAGCAAGUUUGUAGUAAGGUCUAGUUACAUUUACAUUUUAGUCAUUUAGCAGACACUCUUAUCCAGAGCGACUUACAUUAGUGAGUGCAUACAUUUCAUUAAAAAAAAUUGUACUGGCCCCCUGUGGGAAUCAAACCCACAACCCUGGCGUUGCACACACCAUGCUGGCAUUGCAAACACCAUGCUCUAACAACUGAGCCACAGGGAAGACCAGUUAUUCAAUUGCUAAAUAGUAAUAUACUCUAAAACGCUCUGGUGACAAACAAACUUCACUGCCCUGUUUCCAAUCGUCCACAUGGCUGGGAGAACCUAUUCAAGAAGGUAAAUAUAUUUCGAAAAUGUAAAAAAAAAAAUGUAAAAAAUGUAUUAUUAGCUAACUAGCUACAGUGCUGGCGAACUCAAAUGAGCUGCUAACAUGGCUAGCUAGCUAUCUAGCCAACUUUACAUACUGUAUAGAUAGCUAGCUAAGUGAAUUAAAUAUCACCACCUACCUAACUUCAUAUUCGCUAGCUAUCUUGAUGUAUUUAUCACUGUAAAAACAACUCUAAAUGCAUUUGUAGGUAGCUAGCUAACAGCUAUGGAGGACAGUGACAGGAUAGCAGCCCCAACUGUCAAAGUGAGAGAGUAGGCUAUUCUGGAUAGAGCAAGUACUUUUGUCUAGUUCCUGUCCCUGGAAGUGAGGACAGAGAUAAUAGAAAUGAGGACAGAGAUAAUAGUAACAUAAUAUUUAGUGCAGUCUCAUUUGACUAUAAUGAAGUCUGUAUCUUGUGAGGUUUUCUGUCCUCAGAUACAGAGAGCUGUAAAAGCCGGUCAAGCAGAUGAAGAGGUCCCAAUGAAGAGUAGUGGCUCUCAGUCCUGGAUUCAUUUGUGAUGCUGUCCUUGAUAUGAUCUUGCUAUUGUCACAUGCACAUGUGUGUGUACAUGCAUCUAUCCAAUGUUACCAUUAUUUGUUAUCAGGGAUAUUAUACUUUAGUAAUCCGCAAUGACCUGGUGAUGUAACAGUCAAAUAAUGACAUUAUCUUCCAUAUUCCUACAGAUACCUUGUAACUGGUGAUUCCUUCAAAACGAUUUCCUACAGUUACGUGUAGGGCACUGCAAGGUUGGGUGACCAGGGCCAUCUGGGACUGCCUCCUGGAGGAAUUCAGGUGUGUGUGAAGGCUACCUGUGUCCUGCAUAACUUCAUGAGGAUGGACACAAGGACCAGGAGGGGAUCUGCAGCUCGCCGCCGCGUGCCAGAGUAGAAGUCUGCUGCUCUGCAGGAUGUUUCAAGGAUGGGGUCCAACAACGUAGCAAGAGAGGCAAUCCGUGUGCAAGAGAUCUUCACCUCCUACUUCUUCGAAGAGGGUGCUGUUCCCUGGCAACACCAUAGACUACACUAUGCACAACCAAAGGCUCUUUUAAGAGCUAUUCACAUUGCAAUAAGAGUAUUCUUCCAUUUACUGAGCUAUGUCAACUGCAGUUAUUCAAUUCUCAGUUUCUCUCCCUUUGAUUUCUACUUCUCAUGUGAGGGUGCUAUUUAGGUAAGGGUGUGAUGUCUACAAAAGCAAAACAGGCUAUUUUAAAUCACCCAUAUUGAAACAAUUUGGAACAAUUAGACACCCUAUAACCCACACGUACACUCAUGUAUCAAUCUGAUUGAUGGAUUGUGUUGUGCAGUAAGCAGGUUCAGGUGUAUAACUGUGGCUCCUUCCACCUUCAAAUAAUAGGCAAGAGGGACAACCGUGGAGAAUAGUAAGACACUUCAUUAUUUCUAUAACUACGCUAUAUUGUUUGUCCUCGUGUGUCUGUGCAUGUUUUUCCAGCAUAAAGUACUCUGCAGCCACUUAGUGUGGUGUGGACACCAGGUGAGGCCACACACAGAUUACUGUUGAACACUGUCGCUUUAACUACCUUAUUUUCUCAAUAACAGUCUCUCUCCUUCACUUCAUCCUUCUUUUCCUUAAAUCCUCUAGGUUAUAUCAGCUGUGGUUCGUGAACCCCUACUGCAUCUGAACUGGCUGACAGAGAGGGCACAGCAUGAUCAGAGGUAUGAUUUGAUGUGAGGAUGCCAACCCCCAGUCCCGUCAUCGCCACCUCACCCGCUCUUAAGACAACCUUCGGUCCGACGAGAGACACUAUUAUGUAAUUGUGAUGAACUGAGAGAAUAUUUGGGUAGCACUGUGAUUCAUUAAUCAUAUGCUGCCUUCCCUGCUCCUAUGUUCUUACCUCUUUCCCUUUGUUUUUUACACCUCUCUCACCACCUCCUCUUUCUUCCUCUGUUUUUAUAAUGCACAAUAGAUGUGCAUUGAAGUAAAGAUUGAACUUAUAUUUAUAAUAUAAUAUUCCAAUUAUAACAUUUAUAAUGCAUAUAUUUAUAACACUUGGAUAAUGAAAUUCUUUCAAUAAAG
rnacentral:lncRNA from 1 species